rnacentral:rRNA from 1 species
AUACGGAGGGUGCAAGCGUUACUCGGAAUCACUGGGCGUAAAGGACGCGUAGGCGGGUUGUCAAGUCUGAUGUGAAAUCCUAUGGCUCAACCAUAGAACUGCAUUGGAAACUGGCAACCUAGAGUAUGGGAGGGGGAGAUGGAAUUAGUGGUGUAGGGGUAAAAUCCGUAGAUAUCACUAGGAAUACCGAAAGCGAAGGCGAUCUCCUGGAACAUAACUGACGCUAAGGCGUGAAAGCGUGGGGAGCAAACGGGAUUAGAAACCCUUGUAGUCC